rnacentral:rRNA from 1 species
GUGGAUUAGAUACCCGAGUAGUCCACGCCCUAAACGAUGUCGACUGGAUGUUGGGUGCAACUUGGCACUCAGUAUCGAAGCUAACGCGUUAAGUCGACCGCCUGGGGAGUACGCGCGCAAGCGUGAAACUCAAAGGAAUUGACGGGGGCCCGCACAAGCGGUGGAGUAUGUGGUUUAAUUCGAUGCAACGCGCAGAACCUUACCUGGUCUUGACAUGUCGAGAACCCUUCAGAGAUGAGGGGGUGCCUUCGGGAACUCGAACACAGGUGCUGCACGGCCGUCGCCAGCU